GACGAACGCUGGCGGCGUGCUUAACACAUGCAAGUCGAACGGAGUGCCCCAGAAAGAGGCUUCGGCCAAUGGAAGGGAACACUUAGUGGCGGACUGGUGAGUAACGCGUGAGGAACCUGCCUUCCAGAGGGGGACAACAGUUGGAAACGACUGCUAAUACCGCAUGAUAUAUUCUAAUCGCAUGGUUGGAAUAUCAAAGAUUUAUCGCUGGAAGAUGGCCUCGCGUCUGAUUAGCUAGUAGGCGGGGUAACGGCCCACCUAGGCAACGAUCAGUAGCCGGACUGAGAGGUUGACCGGCCACAUUGGGACUGAGAUACGGCCCAG
rnacentral:rRNA from 1 species